CCCUUAGAUGUCCGGGGCCGCACGCGCGCUACACUGAAGGAAUCAGCGUGGCUUUCUCCCUGGUCCGAAAGGACCGGGAAACCCGUUGAAUCUCCUUCGUGAUAGGGAUUGGGGCUUGAAAUUGUUCCCCAUGAACGAGGAAUUCCCAGUAAGCGCGAGUCAUAAGCUCGCGUUGAUUACGUCCCUGCCCUUUGUACACACCGCCCGUCGCUACUACCGAUUGAACGGUUUAGUGAGGGCCCCGGAUUGGUCUCGGCCCGCUCUUCACCGGGCGGCGCCGUUGGUCGAGAAGACGCUCGAACUUGAUCGUUUAGAGGAAGUAAAAGUCGUAACA
rnacentral:rRNA from 1 species